AUUGAACGCUGGCGGCAGGCUUAACACAUGCAAGUCGAGCGGAGAUGAGGUGCUUGCACCUUAUCUUAGCGGCGGACGGGUGAGUAAUGCUUAGGAAUCUGCCUACUAGUGGGGGACAACAUUCCGAAAGGAAUGCUAAUACCGCAUACGUCAUACGGGAGAAAGCAGGGGAUCUUCGGACCUGGCGCUACAAGAUGCGACUAUGUCGGAUUAGCUAGUUGGGGGGGUAAAGGCCUACCAAGGCGACGAGCUGGAGCGGGUCUGAGAGGAUGAUCCGCCACACUGGGACUGAGACACGGCCCAGACUCCUACGGGAGGCAGAAGUGGGGAAUAUUGGACAAUGGGGGGAACCCUGAUCCAGCCAUGCCGCGUGUGUGAAGAAGGCCUUAUGGUUGUAAAGCACUUUAAGCGAGGAGGAGGCUACUGAGACUAAUACUCUUGGAUAGUGGACGUUACUCGCAGAAUAAGCACCGGCUAACUCUGUGCCAGCAGCCGCGGUAA
rnacentral:rRNA from 1 species